UACGUAGGGGGCAAGCGUUGUCCGGAUUUAUUGGGCGUAAAGAGCGUGUAGGCGGUCAGGUAGGUCCGUUGUGAAAACUCGAGGCUCAACCUCGAGACGCCGAUGGAAACCAUCUGACUAGAGUCCGGAAGAGGAGAGUGGAAUUCCUGGUGUAGCGGUGAAAUGCGCAGAUAUCAGGAGGAACACCGAUGGCGAAGGCGGGUCUCUGGGCCGACACUGACACUGAGAGACGAAAGCUAGGGGAGCGAAUGGG
rnacentral:rRNA from 1 species